GGCUCAGGACGAACGCUGGCGGCGUGCUUAACACAUGCAAGUCGAACGGUGAUGUCAGAGCUUGCUCUGGCGGAUCAGUGGCGAACGGGUGAGUAACACGUGAGUAACCUGCCCCCGACUCUGGGAUAACUGCUAGAAAUGGUAGCUAAUACCGGAUAUGACGACUGGCCGCAUGGUCUGGUCGUGGAAAGAAUUUCGGUUGGGGAUGGACUCGCGGCCUAUCAGGUUGUUGGUGAGGUAAUGGCUCACCAAGCCUACGACGGGUAGCCGGCCUGAGAGGGUGACCGGCCACACUGGGACUGAGACACGGCCCAGACUCCUACGGGAGGCAGCAGUGGGGAAUAUUGCACAAUGGGCGAAAGCCUGAUGCAGCAACGCCGCGUGAGGGAUGACGGCCUUCGGGUUGUAAACCUCUUUUAGUAGGGAAGAAGCGAAAGUGAC
rnacentral:rRNA from 1 species